AGAGUUUGAUCCUGGCUCAGAGCGAACGCUGGCGGCAGGCUUAACACAUGCAAGUCGAGCGGGCGUAGCAAUACGUCAGCGGCAGACGGGUGAGUAACGCGUGGGAACGUACCUUUUGGUUCGGAACAACACAGGGAAACUUGUGCUAAUACCGGAUAAGCCCUUACGGGGAAAGAUUUAUCGCCGAAAGAUCGGCCCGCGUCUGAUUAGCUAGUUGGUGAGGUAAUGGCUCACCAAGGCGACGAUCAGUAGCUGGUCUGAGAGGGCGGACGGCCACACUGGGACUGAGACACGGCCCAGACUCCUACGGGAGGCAGCAGUGGGGAAUAUUGGACAAUGGGGGCAACCCUGAUCCAGCAAUGCCGCGUGAGUGAGGAAGGCCUUAGGGUUGUAAAGCUCUUUCGGCGGGGACGAUGAUGACGGUACCCGCAGAAGAAGCCCCGGCUAACCUCGUGCCAGCAGCCGCGGUAAUAUA
rnacentral:rRNA from 1 species